UAAAAUUUGGUCCAAAGGGUCUAGUUCAAGACUUAGUUCACUAUGAUCCUUCAGGUUAGAACUGUCAACACUAAGUGUAGGUUCAAGUCCGGAAGACACUUGCACCCAUUGCAUAGUAUAAAGCUGCCCAAAUUUUUCUAUAUAUAUAUGUAUAUGAUUUUAUAAAGUUUUGAAACUUGUGGGGGACUGUUGGAAUUUGAAUGAAUUUUGAAAAGUUUUAAAGAGGUAUAAAUAAAAAAGAUUUGUAACCCCCAAAUUUUUAAAAGAGUUGUUGUAACCUUUAAGUAUUUCAAAUUCUAUUUGGAAGUUUCAAAACUU
rnacentral:lncRNA from 1 species